rnacentral:lncRNA from 1 species
CAGGCUUGAAGUGUAAUGCUUACUAGUACUUUCCUGCACAGUCUGUACCACAUUGCAAUCCUACCAUCAUUCCCCCAGGGGAGGCAUGGAAACCAUGGCAAGUCUGGGCUGGAUUAGGGAGUGAUGCUACUUUUUUCCCAUGUAUCCAAGAGCAAUAUUGCAAUGGUGCCUUGAAGGUGCUUAGCUAUGUAGAUGGAGAUACCGUUUCCCCUCUUUGUUGGAAAUUGCAUCUGGGUAUGGAAAAUCGUAGAUGGAUAUGGAAAAACUUUCUGUAAGCUUUAAUUGGUAAAGAACUGGAGAGUUUACAGGUACCUUCACAAACAGCCACUGAGGACUGGGAGAGGGCAAAACUGCACAAAAUUCAUUUAUGCUGUGUAGUAGCAGUGUGCUCGCAGUCAGAGGACAUCUGGGAACACAAAUAAGGGAUGCUGGUAAAACGUUUGCACUUCUCAUUAAUAAGAUCCAAAGACUACACUUUUGGUAUAUCAGGAUCGUGUCCUCUGGUCAGUCUCUUGCAGGCAGCAAACUCUUCCACUAAAUUUCACAGCUAUCAGGCAAGGCAUGAGGACAUCUCUCAGACCAAGCCCUUAAAGAGGUUUGUUCAGAGGAACAGCUACCCUCCAGACAUGAGAUGAGCCAUGGUGGGACUUCUGGUCAGCCAGGAAGAUGCUUGAUGUAGAAGGAAACAGA